GGGGUGCGUCUCCUUGAAAGCUGUCCCUGCUGGGAUUUCCAGCCCUUGUAUGGCAGGAAAGAGUUCCUAGAGAGAGAAGACAAAGACGGUCUGUGUUGCAAAAGAAGCCCCAGGCUGAAGACUGGAGAUCUGAAUGUGCUACUUGCAAGGGAACUGGAGA